rnacentral:rRNA from 1 species
GAUGAACGCUAGCUACAGGCUUAACACAUGCAAGUCGAGGGGCAGCAUGGUCUUAGCUUGCUAAGGCCGAUGGCGACCGGCGCACGGGUGAGUAACACGUAUCCAACCUGCCGUCUACUCUUGGACAGCCUUCUGAAAGGAAGAUUAAUACAAGAUGGCAUCAUGAGUCCGCAUGUUCACAUGAUUAAAGGUAUUUCGGUAGACGAUGGGGAUGCGUUCCAUUAGAUAGUAGGCGGGGUAACGGCCCACCUAGUCUUCGAUGGAUAGGGGUUCUGAGAGGAAGGUCCCCCACAUUGGAACUGAGACACGGUCCAAACUCCUACGGGAGGCAGCAGUGAGGAAUAUUGGUCAAUGGGCGAGAGCCUGAACCAGCCAAGUAGCGUGAAGGAUGACUGCCCUAUGGGUUGUAAACUUCUUUUAUAAAGGAAUAAAGUCGGGUAUGGAUACCCGUUUGCAUGUACUUUAUGAAUA